rnacentral:lncRNA from 1 species
UUGUAAUUAAUACAUUUAUCGUUUUAUUUGAAUUUCUGGUAGGUAAAAACCAUAAAAGAACCCCUUAAAUUAAUUGAUAAUUUAUAUUCUAUGUAUUCAUUAGUUUUGACUUUGACAUGCACGUCCUGCUGCUGUGCUGCAUGCAUCAACAAUUCAACAUGCACGUCAUCGGUCUAUGCUUGUGAUUUAUUCGACGAUCGGUUGGCCGUGGAGGACCAGAGUUUCAACUGUGAGACCAGGGCCGAAUCCGAAGAGCACACCCCAGUCGUGGCCGUCUCCGGUAGUCUUCUUUCCCUCCUCCUUGGACUUCCUCCUCAUCUCGUCAAGUAUGAAAAGAACACAAGCGCUGGACAUGUUUCCGUACUCCUUCAGCACUUGUUUAGUUGGCCCCAUCUUCUCCUCCGUCAACCCUAAUUUCAACUCGACCUGGUCCAGAAUCGCAGGCCCUCCCGGGUGCGCGAUCCAGAAGAGAGAGUUCCAGUCGUCUAUUCCCAGAGGGGUGAAUGCCUCGACGAGGCUUUUCUCGAUGUUCUUGGAUAUUAAUCCGGGAACGUCUUUGAGGAGGUGGAAGGUGAGACUGGAUUCUAUAGGGUAUACUACAGCUGAGAUAAGGUGGUGUUCUAUGUUGUGUAGGGAUCUUUAUCCCAUCACCAACUUUAUAUUGUGAUAAUAUCCAACUUUAUAUUGUGAUAAUAUUUCUUGCUUCAAAUCCGGUUAGUAGUAGUAGAUCCAAACACAUAGAUACAGACUAUCAUUAUGUUAGAGAGUUAAUUUAAAAUAAAAUAUAUACCGACAAUUGAUCAAUUGGCAGAUCUUUUUACAAAAUCAUUAGGAAGUGAUAGGUUUGCGGAAUUAACAAAAAGAAUUACAAUAAGGAGGUGUGAAAAUUUGGAAAAUUAUAGAAAUAAAUCAAUUGUCUAAACUUUCUCAAUUUUUAAAUUCUGAUUUAGAGUCUGAUUAAAUCAUAAAAAAUUAAAAAAAAAUUAAAAUUGUUUAUUUUGUGAGGAUAUGUUGGGCUGUGGUUGUUCUUUGUUUCUUUGCAGGUAAAGUAAGAAGAGAAGAAUGACAUAGUGAAGAGUAGUGAUUGGUCCAAUUGGCUUGAUAGGAUAGGUUUUCCCAGGAAAAUGAAAAGAGGAGCAAAAGUACGUAUCCCAUUGGGUUUUUUAUACUUACUAUCAAUCCAAUUAAGCAACGAUCAUAAAGGUGUAUACAACUUUAGAGCAAGCUACGAUCAACAAGCUAUGGAUAGUAAUAGCAAUCGAUAUAAUGGCUGGGUCAGGAAUGGUUCAAGAGUACGAUAAUACUACCUUCGGUUUGAGGAGUAUGAGAGAUAUAAUUAAAGAAGAAUUAGUUAAACAGUUAGUAGUUGAGUUAUGUGUAGAUUAGUUGUUAUUUGAAGUAUAUAAAUACAUGAUAUGGAUUGAUAACUUGAUCAUUGCGAAAUAACAUCUUUGAUAAAUUUAGACUCUUAGAGUUAUAGCUGUUCUUCACCUUUUUUUAGACGUCGUAAAAAUGAAUCAUCAUAUCUGUUCUCUGGAUCUUCAUUGACUGGAUCUACAUCGACUGGAUCUUUAUCGACAGGCUCGUAUUCGAGAUGUUCUUUUUCGAGAAAUUUUUCGUCGAUUGUAUUCUCGACUACAUGUUCUCCGUAAGCUGCACGAACCAAUCCAAUCAUAUCGUUACCAGUUUCCGGCGCUGUCUCUUGUCAUUUAACUUUUUUCUCACCAUAUCUACUCGGUAACUCUCCGUGACGCGUCCAAAUGUCGUAAUUAAUGUUUCGACCAGCCGUUUAUGAAAAUAUGUUUUCUCAUCUCUUUUAUAGGAAUCACUCCACUAUUCGUGCAGGACGAGCAGAGACAAGGUAAAUAACCUUAUGGGUGAGUCAAAUUCGAAAGGGCGAAAUUAAUGAAAGCAGUUAAGCUCUCACCGUAUUCAUUCGAAAAUCGAUUUAAACUCAUCCGAGCUUUAUUGAGUACUUUCAUUAAGUUCGACAUUAUUCUAAAAAAUUAAAUUUUUAUCAGAUAAUAAUUAAUUAGAUAAAACUUAAUUGACUAUUACAAUAUAGUUUAAUUAAUAUUAAGUUCAUAAAUUUUCAGAUCCGACAUUAAUAUAGUCUAAUUAAUUAUUAACUAAUCCGAAUCCGUUUCAUAAACAACUUUCUUCGGAGUUGCUGGUUGCGUAACGGGAGGGGCCGGUGCUGGACGAACAGGUGCGGGAGGGGCCGGUGUUGGACGAACAGGUGCCGGUGCUGGACGUACAGAUGCUGGUGUCGGAUUAACCGGGAGAUAAAACCGAAAAACAUCUUGGGGAUUGGGUGGUGGAGCUCUCUUACGAGGUAAUUGCAUCAGUACUCUACAUGAUAUUUUUAAAAUCUAAAAAAAAAUUGAUUAAUUAAUUAUUAAUUAUUAAACAAAUUAUUAAUCAUUAAUAUUUGAUUACUAAAUAAUUCUUAAAUAACAUUAAAUUAAAUAUUUAUAACAUUAAUAACAUAAUUAAUAUUAUUUAUUUAUUUUAAAUAUUUUAAAUAAUUAUUAAUUUUUAACAUACAAAUUUUAUAUUUAUUCAUAUUUCAUUAUUAACAUAUAUAAUACAAUAAUACAUUAAUGUGAAUUGUUGAUUAAUUACUACUUUUUUUAAAAAUAACAUUCAAUUAAAUAAUUCUUAAUUAUUAAAUAAUAUUAUUUUACAUUUUAAUAAAUAAUAAAACAUAUUAUUUUUUAACAUAAACAUUUAAUGUUUAUUAAUAUUUCAUUAAUAACAUAUUAAUUUUAUGACAAUUAAUUAAUUUUAUUCAACCAAAUUAAUUAAUUACAUUCAUGCAUAUUAAUUAAUAUAUAAAAUCAUGUCAAUUGUUAAUUAAUAAUUACUACUUUUUAUAAAAAUAAUAAAUUAAAUAAUUCAUACCGAUCCUUAGUUCAAUCCAAAAGUUACGAAUUUGUCAAUUUCUCAAAACCUAAAACAAGUCAAAUAACAAAUAAUUAAUUAAAAUAAUUUUUAAAUGAUUUAAAAACGAUAAAUUAAAUAAAUAAAUAUUUAAAUAAUUAAUUCUAUUUCAUACAAUUAAUUCCAAAUAAAAAAUACGUUAAUUCUAUUUCAUACAAUUAAUUCCAUUUCAUACAAUUAAUUCCAAAUAAAAAAUAAGUUAAUUAUAUAAUUACAUAAUUAAAUAUUUAAUUGACACAUUAAUUAAAGUAUUUAAUUAAAUAAAGUAAUUAAAUUAUGUAAAAACAUUAAUUAAAUAAUUCAAGAGAUAAUUAAAAUAUUUUUAAAAUUAAUUAUUUACAAACACUAUAUUAACUAAUUAAAUAAUAAAUUAUUUAAAGUAUUUCAGAACAAGUAAUUCUAUUUUUAAAUAAAUAUUUAUUCAAAUAAUGUACAAACAGUAAAUAAUUAACUAUAUGUAAUUUAUAAUUAGAGGCUACGAUAUGUAAUUUAUAAAACAUUCAUAUAUACCACACUAUUCAACAUAAUACUCUUAUAAGUAUUUAAAUAAUUGCUGAAUAAAAUUCAUGGACUCUAAUCUCUACUGACCAAAAAAGAUAAUAUAUAUAGAUCUUUAAUUUCUAAUUUCUAUACACUCUAAUCUGUUUUUAGAUGCAGAUGAGUCUCCCCUCAUUUCUGUACAGGAACACGCCAAAUCCUAACACAUACUCACCAUUCACACUCACCAUUCACACUCACCAUUCUAAUAUGAAAAUCCUAACACAUUCGAAUCGACAUAUCAAAAUCCUAACAUGAAAAUUUCUUAUUCAAUCAUAAACUAAAACAAUCCACCUUCAAAUCAAAACAUAAACCUAUUGAAAUAAACAUAAGCCCAUUAUCAUAAACAAUAACACAUUUUAAUCAAAACAGUAGACACAUUAUCACAUUCACAUUCAAAACAAUAGAUACAUUAUUAACAGUAGAUGAAGAAGAAGAAAAAAAAAACAAAAAUAAAAUACCUUCACAGAUGCCGGGAUCGGCGCGGCAGUGGAAGUGGAGACCGCCGAGGAUUCGGCGACCGGCGAGACAACUGGACGACGAUGAGCAGCAGCAGCGGCGAGGAGAUAGCGGCGUUUGAGACAGAUGUGUUUUCUGUCUGUCGAUUUGGGGUUUUUAUUAAACCCCAAACCUUACAUGGCGAAAAUCCACCAUGUAAGGUACAUUAAGUGCCGUCGUGUAAGACGGAAAAGUUCGCCCAAUCGAAAUUUGAGCGAGCUUUUUCCGCCUGAUUCUCCGAAAACUUAACAUGGCGGAUGUCCGCCAUGUUAAGUCAAUUUAAUCGGGUAAUUGGGUUAAUUUUUGGGGGGAGUUCGAAAUUUUGGGAGGGACUUUUUAGAUGGCGGUGAAACCCGACCAGUACUCCAAGAUGCGCAAGCAAGCGCCAAGCGGGGAACUCCGCGGGAAAUCGGACCGGAACUCAAGUGCGCAGAGCUCUGUUUCGCUAAGACUUCUUCCACUCCAAAUGACCUGCUUGUAAUGAAUGGGGGGUGCCUCCUAUUUAUAGAGAUUCUUAUGGGGGUAAUCUGGUCAUUAAGGCAGUAACCGCCUAACUGCCUAACUGAUCAGAUCGGGGCCCAUGAUCAACUUUCUGGGGAUCGACUUUCCUGGGGAUUGACUUUAUUCAGAAGUCGAUCCCAGGGGAGUCGAUCCUCAGGAAAGUCGAUCUUCCUAGGAUUCGACUUGGGACCUCCCCAACCCUAGAAUAGGUACCUCAAUUCAUCUUAGGCUAUCCGGACUUUUAGUUGCUGGUAAGUUGUGACCGGGUUCGGGAUACUGUAUCACCAGUACUCCCCCCUCCUCUGCGUAUUAGAUAUCUUGGGAUACGUCUUUUAGUACCUUGUACUAUCAGUAUUCCCCCCUUCUUUGCGUGCUGGGGCGUGGGUUUUUGGUGAUGUCCCAGGAUGCGAGAUCCUUUCUCACCAGUUCUCACCCCCCUAGCUCUACGCCUACUAGGUUAUAUCUAUGCUUCCACGGAGGUUGUCACAUACUUUUGCUAACUAUUGUCCGGUUUGUCCUAGCCGAAGCGUACUCCUUGCGCAUUUGCCUAGCCUGAUUUCCGAACGGAACCCUGCUUGCCCACCUUGACGCCUUGCCUGAGCUAUCUCCGAACAAUGUUCGAGUCCCCUUCCCUGUGGAUGGGGUUGAGAGUUGUCUCUUCUACCUAUUUUUAUAGGUGAAAUUCUCUCUUUUAAGCUCUCUUGCCUCCUUCAAUCUUGCUGUUUCUGCGGUUGAGGUUGAGCGUGCUUCCUCGUCUACCUAUGUUCUUCCAUAGGUGAGGUUUAUUUUUUGAAUACUUGCCCCCUCCUUUUGCUCGCCGUUUCUGCUACUGAGGUUGAGCGUGGUCCCUCGUCUACCUACGUUCAUCCGUAGGUGAGGACUAUUUUUUGAAUACUUGCCUCCUCCCUUUGCUCGCUGCUUCUGCGGCUGAGGUUGAGCGUGGUCCCUCGUCUACCUACGUUCUUCCGUAGGUGAGGACUAUUUUUUGAAUAUUUGCCUCCUCAUUUUGCUCGCCGUUUCUGCGACUGAGGUUGAGCGUGGUCCCUCGUCUACCUACGUUCUUCCGUAGGUGAGGACUAUUUUUUGAAUACUUGCCCCCUCUUUUGCUCGCCGUUUCUGCGACUGAGGUUGAGCGUGGUCCCUCGUCUACCUACGUUCUUCCGUAGGUGAGGACUAUUUUUUGAAUACUUGCCCCCUCCCUUUGCUCGCUGCUUCCGGAAUGGAGGACCGAAUGGAGUAACAGAUCGACGGUUGCGGGAAACAGUUGCCACAGCCGGAACAACAACACCGGUACCAUUGCUGACUUGCUGAAGAGCACGAACGCUGUGCGAAACUUCUGAGACCAGUUGAGACAAGCGAGGAUUACCCACAGCAAAAUCUUCAAUAUCGCAAAGGUGCUGAAGAAGAUCAUCUGGCCAAACACCUCGCUGACGUGCCAACUCAUAUCCCAGUUCCUGCAACAAAUCAUCAAGAGAAGACAUGGUGAAUAAGAAAAUGAAUCAAAUAAAGGAAAGCAACCUAGCUAUUUAUAGGAAGAGGGGGGGGAGUACUGAUGGUACCCCCAAGUUACCAGCCCAGGCCCGUGAAGAAGUCUAGAAGCGAGGCCCAGCAAGACGAAUAGAAGAAAGCCCAAGUCAUUCCGAAGACAUUGGCCCGUUCGGAUCGUCCGGGCGGCCCCAUCAGUCCCACGAACAUUUGGCCCAGGCCCACGAAGAAGUUUAGAAACGAGGACCAGCAAGACAAAUAGAAGAAAGCCCAAGUCAUUCCGAGGACACUGACCCGUUCGGAUCGUCCGGGCGGCCCCAUCAGUCCCACGAACAUUCUGCCGACCAGGCCGGCUAGAAAGACCCGUCAGCUCGAGCAGUUAACAUCCCAAAGAUGGCGUCCCAAGUAUGUCGGACCCAUCAUGUCGGAUCCUAAUCCGAAAGCAUAGGACCCAGAGCCUGAUAGGAAAUUGUAUAAAAUACCCCUAGGGGUGAAGUGUAAUGGGGGGGAUCACUUGUAAUAACAUUUGGAACACACUUGUAAUACACUUGUGAUUAUACUAGAGUAGAGAAGAUCGGCCACCUUUCUAAAGGGACGCGAUCAUCCGUCAUGUAUAAUUUUUGUUUGUGGGAAAUGGAGUCUAAUAAUAGAUGACGGAUAUGGGUUUAUCCUGGCGGUUAUGAUGAUGGCAGUUUAAUGAUGGCGGAAAUCCACCAUUGAUCACUUAUAAUGACAGAUUUUCACCAUUAUAAGUCCGUCAUACAAUGUCUUAUUUUUUUGUAAUGAUAUCUCUAACAACUCCACAAAUUGAGGAAGAAACAUCCAACGGUCACGAUCAUGUAUGUUGAUUACUACGAUACCAUCACUUAUCUCCUCAAUCGUGAUCAUUACUAUUUACUACGGUAAAUCAUUAAUAUAUAAUAUAUAUAUAGAGAGAGAAAACGAUUCUAGUGAGAACCGGGUAUGUGAGAACUCUGUGAAAACCAGAUCACGACCGUUGAAAUUAAAUGUCUACAUGGGGAUCUUCACCCCUAAAUGAUUUAAAUAAUAAACAAUAUAAAUCACCAUUAGAUUUAGAUGUAAGGGUCAAGAUGCAAAGUUCUCAAAUAAUUCAUAUUUUUAUGGUUCUCACUAGAAGCUGACCCUAUAUACAUAUAUAUAUAAUCGUGAUUUUAUUUUCAAAUUUAACAUGAUAACUAGAUUAGCUCAAUUAAUCACAAUCAUUCAUUAUUUUGUGAUGAAUUAAGUUUGAACGAGCUGACAUUGCUCAAGACUUGUUUCGUGGAGGUGGAAAAUACAACUUUGACAUUAUUGGAUUUUGCGGCUUGCCUGAAGCUACGGUUUACAGUAAUUCUGGUCGGUAUUUGAAUUGGGAUGGAGUCCAUCUGACCCAAAAAGGUUAUUGUAACAAAGUAAUCUGAAUAGACACGAAUUCGGGAGCACUGAACGAGCAAAAUCUCCUUAUGGAGCCGGUGGUUGAGAAAGAAUCUCCCUAAGGAGCCGGUGGGGGGAAAUACUGGAAUUAAUUGAGUAAAUUUGAUACCUUUUAUUUAGAUCUCAUAGCUAUUUAAAGAAUUGUUAACCAACGUCAAACUGACAUGUGGUUUUACAUUGUAACUAAUUAACAAUCUAUACUUAGUAAUAGACAUAAUCUUUAUCCUUGGUAGAUUGUUUCCGUCUUGGCUCCCUAGCUAAUGUCGGCUCUUCCUCUGCUGGUUGGGCCUCUUCUUCUUCUAAACUCAGUUCGUCCUUCAGGCGAGCUGCUACUGCCUUUAGGUCGAGAUCGAUCGUAACAUUCCCACUUUCUUCCGCUGAAAUCUUGUCCUCAAGAUUUUCGAUUAGACCUGCAAUGACCCCUACCUCUUCCCAUGAUUUGUUCCCCUCGCCUACCCCAAUCCAUUCAAUUAGUACUUGAUUCACCUCUUUGCCUCUUAUUUUAACUUUUCAGUAUGCACUAAUCGUAGCUGGGCAAGCUAUUGGGUGAGAUUCCAUGCUUACUGGUGGAAGUGCGACUUUCAUCUCUGGCCGGUCCCCUUGGAAUGGUUUUAACAAUGUUAUAUGAAAUACUGGAAAUAUUGUACAUUCUUUGGGUAAUUCCAAUUGAUACGCGACUGUCCCGAUUUUUUUUACUAUUUUGAAUGGCCCAUAAUAUCAUUUGGCUAGCUUCAAACACGACCGCCGAUUCAGUGAAUUUUGUCGAUAUGGCUGUAAUUUUAACCAUACCCAGCUGUUCUCUUUUAAAUCGAAAUCCCUUCGGCCUUGGUCCGCAUAUUUCUUCAUACGAUUUUGUGUUGUUAGUAAGUUCUUUCGUAAUUCCUGCAGCCAUUGAUCUCGUUUCUUUAAUUGGAUAUCAACUGCCUCAACAUUUGAAUCCCCGGCUCUAUAAUCUGCUAACUCUGGUGGCUGCCUUCCAUAAAAUGCUUGAAAUCGAGUAGAUCCUAGGCUGUGGUGGUAAGAUGUGUUAUACCAUAAUUCCUCCCAAGCCAAUACUUCCACUCAAUUUCUUGGAUUAUCAUGCACUGUUGCCCUCAAAUAAUGCUCGAUUGUUUUGUUAACAAUUUCGGUUUGUCCAUCGAUCUCCGGGUGAUAUGCGGAUGACAUCUUUAAGGUUGUCCUGCUUCUUGUGAAGAUUUCCUUCCAGAAUUUGCUUAAAAAAAAAAUUAUCGCGGUCUGAUACUAUUGUUUUAGGGAUCCCAUGAAGUCUGAUUAUCUGCUUGAUGAAGUAGUCUGCUACCAUCAGUGCUGAAUAACUUGAUGGUAGACAUCCCAAAUGGCAGUAUUUGAAUUGGGAUGGAGUCCAUCUGGCCCAAAAAGGUUAUCAACAACUUGCUUACCAUUGGAGGAUUCACUUACCCUAACAAUGAGCUUUGGGAAAAAUGGAUAUCCUAGUACUGUUGAUUUAUGAUGAAUAGAAAAGUGAAAAUAAUGGAACAUUUAUUAUAAGUAGGUAAAUGGAGUGAGUCCAUAUAUGGAAGGAAGCCUUUAUAUAUAAUCUCUAAUUAAUCUUAUGUAUGGUUUUAUAUUAAUGAUAAUAAAGUUAGUAUUAAGAGUUUUAAUCUUAUUAUCUACGUAUUUUUUAUUAACCGAUCGAACCGGUCGUUCUUUCGUUAAAUCAACAAUAAUUUUUUUUUAUUGUUACUCAUAUUAAACUAUGUAUUUUCUUGUUCGUUCAGAUUUAUUUGGACAUUGUUAAUUAACAGAACACAACGAAGGAGUCAGAUUUAUUUGGACAGUGUUAAUUAGCAGCACAGAACGAACGAGUUAAAUUUAUUUGACCAGUGUUAAAAUAAUAUUUUUACUUAAUUUAUUGUAUUUCUAAAUUAUAUUUUCUUAUAGAGUUAAGCUUUUAUUACAAUAUUAACUACUGACUAACUGUUUACUACUUUUCUUUUUACAAUUAAAUAAACUGUGUACUAAUUAUAUUUAUACUAAUUAAUGGUUUAUUGUAAUAUUUAUGAUAAAGCCCUUGUAAUUAAUACAUUUAUCGUUUUAUUUGAAUUUCUGGCCAUAAAAGAACCCCUUAAAUUAAUUGAUAAUUUAUAUUCUAUGUAUUCAUUAGUUUUGACUUUGACAUGCACGUCCUGCUGCUGUGCUGCAUGCAUCAACAAUUCAACAUGCACGUCAUCGGUCUAUGCUUGUGAUUUAUUCGACGAUCGGUUGGCCGUGGAGGACCAGAGUUUCAACUGUGAGACCAGGGCCGAAUCCGAAGAGCACACCCCAGUCGUGGCCGUCUCCGGUAGUCUCCUUUCCCUCCUCCUUGGAC